UACGUAGGUGGCAAGCGUUGUCCGGAAUUAUUGGGCGUAAAGCGCGCGCAGGCGGUCCUUUAAGUCUGAUGUGAAAGCCCACGGCUCAACCGUGGAGGGUCAUUGGAAACUGGGGGACUUGAGUGCAGGAGAGAAAAGUGGAAUUCCACGUGUAGCGGUGAAAUGCGUAGAUAUGUGGAGGAACACCAGUGGCGAAGGCGACUUUUUGGCCUGUAACUGACGCUGAGGCGCGAAAGCGUGGGGAGCAAACAGG
rnacentral:rRNA from 1 species